GGGAACGUUGAAGAAAAUGUCCCUGCAUCAUUUUCAGAGAUGUAAAAGGUGUGCUGGGCUCCAAAGGGAGUCGGUAUGUAUUGGGCCGGUGUCAUUCAGAAUUAAAACAGGGACAUGCUGACAUGCACCAGAGUGGGCUCAUGCUUGACAUCUUGUAAACAGGGUUGAAAAGAAACCUCAAAAUAAACACACGUCUACAAAAGCUGCCCUCCCCUCCAAAAUCAGCACAUUUUGCACAGCCAGAGGUACCUUCCCGGUCUUCUGUCUGUUGGCAGUUUUACUUCAUCUGUUUUUUCUUCAGAUCACAGCAGUGUGAGUCUGACUGCGUCAGCGGAAGAGCUGCCUUCAUGGAGGUGCAGGUGCAGUCGGCCGUUGUGGAAUUCAUCCUGAACCACACUCUUCCACUCCAAAUCCAGCCCAGUCAUUGGAGAUGGAGGAGUCUCUAUAGGUUAAUCAGCAGGGCUGUUCAGCUGCAUGGCAAAGACUGCGUGGGCCCUGCAGCUGUUGCCCAGUUCUCUGCCUGCAUUGCUGAUUCGUGACUUUAGGAUGCGGAAUUAACUGCAACGUGUUUGUGCCCAGCCCUGGAACCUACAGCUUUCCUUGAGUAACUGCUAAGACCAUAAGUGCACCUGUUCCAGUGGAAACAAACAGAGUUGCACCAGGAAGAAAGUUUCCUCUGCGUGUUAGAUGAAUAAAUGUUCAGAGCACAAGCAAUUAUUAUUCCAAAGGAGCACUAAGUUUGUUCCAUCUGCUUUGAUACCCUGACCUUCCAAUGAGAUUUGCACAGUCACCGCAGUUAUUACCACUGGUGGAGUAUAGAUAGCUGCUUUUCCGGAGUAUUUGCUGCUUCCCAUUUUAUACGAGCAUUGCUCUUCUUUGGAUAGCACAGUUGCUGUAAGUCCAGCUUUUGUUCCCACUGGAAGGCAGUUUUUAUGUCAGCAGGAUGCAGGGGUUAGCUUGGCUGAGCAGGAACAGCCCACAGCAGGCUGAGCUCUGCCAGGAGAAAAUCAACAUGCAAACCAC
ensembl:lncRNA